rnacentral:rRNA from 1 species
CUACGGGCGGCUGUAGUGGGGAAUAUUGGACAAUGGGCGAAAGCCUGAUCCAGCCAUGCCGCGUGUGUGAAGAAGGCCUUCGGGUUGUAAAGCACUUUCAGUGGGGAAGAAAGCCUUGGGGCUAAUACCCUCGAGGAAGGACAUCACCCACAGAAGAAGCACCGGCUAACUCCGUGCCAGCAGCCGCGGUAAUACGGAGGGUGCGAGCGUUAAUCGGAAUUACUGGGCGUAAAGCGCGCGUAGGCGGUCUGAUAAGCCGGUUGUGAAAGCCCCGGGCUCAACCUGGGAACGGCAUCCGGAACUGUCAGGCUAGAGUGCAGGAGAGGAAGGUAGAAUUCCCGGUGUAGCGGUGAAAUGCGUAGAGAUCGGGAGGAAUACCAGUGGCGAAGGCGGCCUUCUGGACUGACACUGACGCUGAGGUGCGAAAGCGUGGGUAGCAAACAGGAUUAGAUACCCGAGUAGUC